rnacentral:rRNA from 1 species
GUCGAGAAUCUUCCGCAAUGCGCGAAAGCGUGACGGAGCGAUGCCGCGUGAGGGAUGAAGGCUUUCGGGUCGUAAACCUCUGUCACUCGGGAUGAAGAUCUGACAGUACCGAGAGAGGAAGUCACGGCUAACUACGUGCCAGCAGCCGCGGUAAUACGUAGGUGGCUAGCGUUAUUCGGAAUUACUGGGCGUAAAGGGUCCGUAGGGGGCCGGCUAAGUCUGAUGUGAAAGGCCACAGCUCAACUGUGGGACUGCAUUGGAAACUGGCCGGCUAGAGUCGAGGAGAGGAAAGUGGAAUUCCUGGUGUAGCGGUGGAAUGCGUAGAUAUCAGGAGGAACACCGAAGGCGAAGGCAGCUUUCUGGCCUCGCACUGACCCUCAUGGACGAAAGCUAGGGGAGCAAACAGG